rnacentral:lncRNA from 1 species
CUACCCACUGAAAUGGAGUAGGUCGGUGAGCGCCGAUCUGCUGGAGAAUCUCAUUAUCCCAUCGGCGCUCUGCCUGCUCCUGGCCUCCAAGCCUCUGAAGCCCCUCGGGUUUCAGCUGCCGGCUACCCUCGAGCCCGUGGUGCCCACGAGAGAGGCGACUUUACGUCAGCGGCCCUGGGCUGAGAUUUGAGAACGCGACCAAGUGGAGAAUGUUGGAGCCAGAUUUUAAAAUCCUUGUCUUCCUUCUGCGUGCUACUUGAUCUAAAUGAGAUACGGCAAAGUCACAGAACCUGUUUUUAUGUUUUUGCCUGAUUCAUACGGGCUUCUCCGGUGAAGAUGGGCCUGAAGUAACGCUUGGGUUGCUUCUGACGUUAUAACUCAUCCUGUAGCUGCAGCAACCGUGGUCCUUGCAACCUCAUAAAAAUGUUGCCAGCAUUGUUUCGAUAGUGCUGCUUAAUUCUUGGAAGGUUCUUCGGACUUCACACAUUCCAGCAGUAGCUCUCUCAGCUCCUGUCCUGCACAGCUUUGAAGUGCUGGACACAGCCCUGGUGAUGGCUUUCUGAGGAUGACACGAUGGAGGCUUCUCCAAUAGCUCUAAAACUGCGGUGUGGAAAACAUUCGGCAGCCUCAAAGAGCGGUCUUGUUGACCCCAACUAUAUCAUUUUUCAUCAAAAUCAUUCUUGUAAAGAAUGACCAGGCAACACUCUUUGAAAAUUGGAGGCCAUUUGCAGCUGCUCUCUGUUGAGGAAAGUGAAUAAUAGGGUGCCCUCAAGGAAUUGCAAAGGUAUCACUCAACAGAAACUUUCGUGUCUGAAGAAAACUAGAUCAUUUUAUCAUGGGACACGCUGCGGAUGGCUUGAGAUUAGUAUCUGCGCAGGUGCCAUUCUCACAGUGUGUGCUGUGAGAAUGUCGCAGACGUGUGCUGCUACUCUGGCACUCACACUUGUCCAGGCUGUUUCUUAGGUGGUCAUCUUGCCUGUGGUAUCAGAAAAAGGGAUUUCUACUUAGUAUUAAGAAGUUGAAACCAAAGUAGAAAAUAUUCAUCCUUUGCUUUCCCCAAACAAUUCUUCUGCCUAGAAAUGUCAACAACUUAACCACAUGCAAAUACCCAUUUGUGGACAAAUGUGUACAAAAGACAUUUGGGGUUCCCCUCUUUGAGACUAGAUUAAAGCUGACCAUAUAGAUAGGGAAGAAAACUGUUUUUCUCUGUAGCAUCAUAUUGCUGCUUUGUAUAUUUUCUGAUAGAGUAGCAUCAGGUCCUCUGGCUGCUUUAUUGAAAUCAUCUUUGACGUUUCUAACAAGGAAAUUUCCUGUGCAAAACUCUAGUUAGAGAUUUCAGUGACUUGUAUCACCAAGAGGAGGACCAUCAGCAUGCAGUGGAGGUCUAGGCUUCAGACAUGUGAGGCACACUGAGGAGCAGCUUUAUUUGCAAGAGGUAUUAGGAAUCUUCCUAACAAAGUUGACCUUCAGGAUGGGAGAAAUCAAAGCACAGACCAUAGAUCCAAAAAAAAUGGCUUCUGGUCAGAAAAGGUGAUCUGAGAUUAGGGGAAGAUGUGUCAUCAAUAUCAUCCCCUGGUCCAGCCCUGUGAAAUCACACCUGAGUGGUAGAGAAAUAUCUAUGAAAAAAUAGUAAAACAGAAACAAAUGUUUCUGUCUGGCAGACAGGCAGCUGCAUGGCUUUCAGGGCCAGGUAG